GUGUUGUCAGACUUCUAGCAUUGCCGCCGCCAUGUUUACGUUACUUCUCGUUGCAUCUGUUUGACACACAAGAAAAGAUCACAGUCAGACCAUUAAAGUGAACAAAAUACGCUCUUUACUGACCAGUUAUGGUGAUGAAAUGAUCUUAAGCUUAUGCCUGACAUACAGCACGAAGACGUCAACAUAUUCAACUGGAUGAAUUAAACUGUCAUGGCCAGCAGACUGCGUGAAAAGAAAGGCAGUUCAUCCAUACCUGUAACUAAGUCUGGAGAGUCCUUGCAGAAUAAGAAUGAGGAAAGCAAUCAGAAGAGUGACUCAGGAACAGAGCUUGUAAAAGGAUCCUAUUGUGAGGAUGAUGGGAGUUUGAUCCAGGCAACACCAAGCAGUGCCACCAGGAAUUCCUUUGCGUAAUAUUCUCAAGGUUGUCUGCCAAUGUGUUACCCCCCAACUGUAGUGCGGGUGUUAGCUUUUUUUUUGCUGUUUAUUUAUAUUUUUGUUAUGCUGUAUGGCAUUUUGCAUUGUGCUUCUUUUAUUGAAUUGAACCAUAUUAUUGGGUGUUACUGACUUUCAAGUUAAAACUGAAAAUCAUAGGAAGAAACUUUAUCGCUGUCAUUUCAUUUUAGCUUUUCAUUCAUCCACCCAUUCUUACCCUGGCUAACUACUGUUUAAAAACACUCCUAGAACUAACCAUGCAUGCUCGUCCUGUUGAUUAUAUUUGCAACAUUUUUUUUUUUAAAUACAGUUCAUUCCUGGAUGUGUUGAGGUCUCUCAGAAGUAAGAAAAAUAACAUCCACUUAAGUAGAUUUAUUGAGUAUUGAAUGCUUAUAAUGAGAGACAGUGAUCUACAUGUAUGAUGCAUGCCUGAAAGAGAUUCAUCCCAUAACAAUCACUAUCAACCUAACAUUGUAAUUAAUGUUGUUUUAAAAUUUGUGUUUGCACUACACUGAGAUGUUCAUGAAAAAAGUUAAAAACAUAUUUUGCAUGAACUUGUUGGAGUUUGUCUUUGUAGUCUAAUUUGCAUUGACACUGGAGGUUGUUCUUUAGAUUCAGGCUUUUCAUUAAAUAAUUCAUAUAGGCAUACACGUACCUAUUACAGUUCUAUUCCAUUUUCAUGUUUGUGAAUUAUAUUUAAUUUUCAGUCACUAAUAUGUUAUAACAUGCUACAUGUAGUAAAUUUGAUUCUAAUACUCUUAGGUAUUAAGUGUACAUGUAAUGAUUUAUUUAUGAAUUUUGCAAUAAUUUGAUUUCUUGAUCUCUUGGCUAAUUUGCUACACUAUUUUGGUACUAAUGUGGCAGGUUUAGGCUUGAAUAUAUUUAACAUGUAGUUCAUGCUCAAGUUCUUGUCACACAUUCAAAGAUACAAAUUCAGCUUUCAUGCCUUUUCAUUGACAUUUUACCCUAGAUUUAGCUGCUAGAUCUUUCACACUAAAAUUCAUUGGUGAUGCUAUUGCAAUGUAAACUGAGAGUAUUUGGAUAAUUUGCUUUUUGACAGAGUUGUUCAGUCAGAGAUUGAAAUUGGAAAAUUGGCAAAAAAUGGCACCUCGCAAAUACUGAACAUGUACAGUACACUGAUACAUGUAUGUCCCUCAUGUAGAGUAUGUACUUUGCAUUGUUCAAUGAAUACAACGUAUGCUUGAAUUACAAUCCCUGCAUGUUAGUUUUGGCCGACAAUGACAGUAUCACAAUAUUUCUAUUGGCACAUGAUCGUGGUAACACUCUUCAUUGUAAAAUACAUUGUGUUAAUUUCAUACCUGUAGCUCCAUGCUGUUUUACAAUGUAGGUUUCAUUAUUGUAGAUAAUUCUAAUAUUCAACAUUC